rnacentral:rRNA from 1 species
CAGUAGCCGCGGGAAAACGAAGGGGGCUAGCGUUGCUCGGAAUGACUGGGCGUAAAGGGCGCGUAGGCGGAUCACGCAGUCAGAUGUGAAAUUCCUGGGCUUAACCUGGGGGCUGCAUUUGAGACGCGUGGUCUAGAGUGUGAAAGAGGGUCGUGGAAUUCCCAGUGUAGAGGUGAAAUUCGUAGAUAUUGGGAAGAACACCGGUGGCGAAGGCGGCGACCUGGUUCAUGACUGACGCUGAGGCGCGAAAGCGUGGGGAGCAAACAGGAUUAGAUACCCCAGUAGUCCCUGUCUCUUAUAC